rnacentral:rRNA from 1 species
CCUACGGGUGGCAGCAGUGGGGAAUAUUGCACAAUGGGGGAAACCCUGAUGCAGCGACGCCGCGUGAGCGAUGAAGUAUUUCGGUAUGUAAAGCUCUAUCAGCAGGGAAGAAAAUGACGGUACCUGACUAAGAAGCCCCGGCUAACUACGUGCCAGCAGCCGCGGUAAUACGUAGGGGGCAAGCGUUAUCCGGAUUUACUGGGUGUAAAGGGAGCGUAGACGGCGGUGCAGGCAAGAUGUGAAAGCCCGGGGCUCAACCCCGGGACUGCAUUUGGAACUGUGCUGCUAGAGUGUCGGAGAGGCAGGCGGAAUGCCUAGGGGAGCGGGGAAAUGCGUAGAUAUUAGGAGGAACACCAGUGGCGAAGGCGGCCUGCCGCAGCGUUACUGACGCUGAAGCUCGAAAGCGCGGGUAUCGAACAGGAUUAGAUACCCCGGUAGUC